rnacentral:misc_RNA from 1 species
GUGUUUUGAAUUAAGUAAAUUCAUAACGUUUUACAGACAAUAGAUUAAAAAGUAAUAAUAAGAGUUGAUAUAAAAAAUACCUUGACAAAAAGAAAAUUCUGACAAGGAUUAACAUUUCACACAAGGUGGAUAUGGAUUUUUUUUUAGAGUGCCAUAAAACACUCUAUUAUGAAUGAUCCUUCCGCAGGUUCACCUACGGAAA